UACGUAGGUGGCAAGCGUUGUCCGGAUUUACUGGGCGUAAAGGGCGCGUAGGCGGCUUGAUAAGGUUGCGGUGAAAGCCCGGGGCUCAACUCCGGAAUUGCCUUUAAAAACUGCAUCGCUAGAAUUGUGGAGAGGUAAGUGGAAUUCCGAGUGUAGAGGUGAAAUUCGUAGAUAUUCGGAAGAACACCAGUGGCGAAGGCGACUUACUGGACACAUAUUGACGCUGAGGUGCGAAAGCGUGGGGGAGCAAACAGG
rnacentral:rRNA from 1 species